AUAUAUAUAUACCUAGGGCCUUUCAGUUUAUCAACACUGCUUGGAGGUUGCAGAUAAUAUCUACUUUGCUAGAAGGGAUAUUGCAAUAACAUCACACAAGCGUCAACAAGAGUCAACGACUGUAAUUCACUAUGCUGGCCAAGUGGACAAUGUCAGAUGAAGAAGGAUUCACCACGACAAAGAGGGACACUGCCGCCAGAGAGAGAUGGUUGUAUGAAAGAGUUAUUGAGACAAAGGACUUUUGACCUUGCUACAAAUGUUAUUUUCAUUAAUACUAGUUAGAGACUGUUUCGGUUUUGGUAUUGAAGUACUUUUCAGGUAGUGAAUACCCAGGAAGAGAUAAAUGUAACAAAAAGACUUACAUUAUAGCGGAGAGAAAGAAAGAUAGUUUUACCUGUUGGUUCCAAUAACACAGUUUUACCUAUUGUAUCACAUAAAGAGUUUGCAGAAGGUAUUUCCACUGGAUUGAGUUGAAAUAUUAAAGAAUAUGUGAAAUUAUCAGUAGCAAAUGAAAUUUAAAGCAAUGGCUUAGA
rnacentral:lncRNA from 1 species